ACCUCACCAUCACUGCUGCCCCCGGAUGCUUUUGUUUCUUUAUUGCUUAUUAGAAGCCCUGAUUCAGAAAGAUAACCCUCCAGCACCAUGAGACACUGCUGGCUGCCCUUAAUGCCCAGCCUGGCUCUACCAUCUGACCUCACCUUCCCCAUCCCCUCACCCUCAGUCUCACAAGUUCCUCCUCAGGAAAGGCACCGUGCAUGCGUGCGCUGCAGAGGGGAUUUCCACCUCUUUCCUGUGGGUGCAGAUAUCUCACAGCAGGACGGAGCCACGGCAGCACUCGGCAGCCCAGCAGUGCCAGCAGACAGCCUGUCCUGCAGCAGAAAGGGGAUGAUGCAGCUACCCAACAGCCCAACCUCCUCAACAAGCCCCACUGAGCGCCUCAGCCCAGGGACCAGGACUAUGUCCAUCCCCACCAUCCAACCCCAACAGAAGGACAGUCAGAUUGUGGUGAUACGAGGGCCUGAGCACUGAACACAAACCAUCAUCUGUGCAAGAUACCUCCCAAAACCAAGGGGGGUUUGUUGGGGGUCUGGAUGCAGAAGCAGAGUGUGCAAGUAGGAAAGCACUUCUGCAAAACACCACAGAGGUGCUCAGCACCCCUUGUGAAAUCCAUGAUAAGGUUCUUGGCAUGUCUCUGGCAGACUUGGUGCUGUUUAGGCUCCUCUGAAUACGGCUUCUUCCCUCCUCUCAGACUUGUCUGUUCUGCAGCUCCUCCAGCAUUCCCCAGGCUGGGACAACUGGACCUGCGACGAUGAUGGUUUUCUGUGGGAUACUGUUCCUGGGGCAGUGGUUUCACAGAAGUCCUGCUGGAUCUGACCCCCUGGGGGAGCAGAGCGGGGCAGAGGCCUGUGGGCACGUUUGGAGGAAGCAGGAGUUAGAAACCACCGUAACGGUGCUACGGCAGCAGCCCCACAGCACAAGGGCUGUGCAGUGGAACGGGUCAAUACACUUUCAAAUCACAAUUAAGUGAGAGCCGAUUUCUUGCUUUGGAAUGAGAAGUUGCAAGAGCCUUUCCCAGCAGCGGGAAGAGGAGGUGGCUCUGCAGGACAGCUCUGCUCACCCAGCACCUCUCCCUGCACAGGGGACCCUUGCCCAGGGAAGAAGCAAAACCUCCUGCCUUGUAGGUGGUUGUGGGGAGCCUCGCUGAGGGGUGCAUCAGUGAUCCUAGCUGAGCCUUUGUUCUGGAAAUCUUCAUAUCCUCAGAAGCUGCAGCCUCCGCAGCAGCCCUUGCGAUGCCAAGCAGCUGAAGCACUUUCUCUUCAAAGCAGUUUGCAAAUGUGAAAAGGAAAGAAAAUGAAAAUCAAAAGUAAGUGCAGGGAGCUUUGGGACGCAGCCAGCACAUGACCCCUUUUGACUUUUAGGGUGGAGAAGCCAAGACCCUCUACCUUGGCUUCUCUUCUUACCAAACCAAAACAGGCAGCAUGCAGUUGCUGUCACUGCUUUGCAUAAAUGAGGAGAUCCAGC